UGUAGAUCAGACUGGCCUCGAACUCACAGAUAUUCUCCAGUCUCCACCUCCUGUGGUCUGGUAGGGCCUCCUGCAGCUAAGUCAAAGGUGUUAAUUAGUUAAUAGCUGGGCUCCUUUCUGGAAGUUGUAUGGGCCUGAAAACAUUCAUAUGAACCACACAGUCCAGAAGAAGAAAAACAACAUAAGAAGUUAUGGAUUCUUGGAAUCUAUAUGGAUUCUAUGGUAGUUUGAGUACCUAAAAUAUAGACAGAUUCUCUGACACAGGAUUAGACAUAUCUCCAGGAUGGUUCCGAUCUCCAACAGCUAUGCAGCAAUUCUACCAGGUGGUUCACUUGUUUGGACAUUGAAUAAAUAUGUAUUGCUCUUAUAGCCCCUGUGCUAGGAUUUGGGAAUACAUCAGCUCACAGACUGCAGCCCUGACUUCUAGAAGGUAUUAGAAGAGACCAAAUAUAUCACUACAUCCUAUGAGGAGAGCUGCACUCAGACUGUAGCAGACACAGCCAGACAGAUGGGAAUGGACAAUCAGGAGAAGUUAAGAGGACUUCCUUAAAGAUGGAAUCAGUAGAGUUUGGGGAGUCGGGGACGGGGGGCAAGAAUGAUCAUGUCAGACAAAAAGAAACCCUGCAUGCAGAGACAUCACCUGGCUUUGAAAAGUUCCAGAUGAGCUCUUCAAAACAGAA
rnacentral:lncRNA from 1 species